UACGUAGGGGGCGAGCGUUGUCCGGAGUUACUGGGCGUAAAGCGCACGCAGGCGGUCUGCUAAGUUUGGAGUGACAGUUGGUGGCUUAACUGCCAAAGUGCUUCGAAAACUGACAGACUUGAGGGCUUCAGAGGGACACGGAAUUCCGGGUGGAGUGGUGAAAUGCGUAGAGAUCCGGAAGAACACCGGUGGCGAAGGCGGUCUGCUGGGCAGUUGCUGACACUGAGGCGCGACGAGCGUGGGGAGCAAACAGG
rnacentral:rRNA from 1 species